GACCGAACCGUUGAAUUGCAAUUUCCGCUAGAAAGCCGACGAGACAAUUUCUUCCGUUCGUUUCAGAUCGGGCGGUGGUCCUGACCAAGGCGCUGCCGGCCACUGGCCUCUCGCAACCGGCGACCGCAUCUCGAAGUAGAGGGUGCUGGCCGCCGCUCUCGGAAGCGCUCUGGAAGGACACGGCCAUGGCGAUGCGGGCCGCUGCGCGUCAAGCCAUACUCUCUCCACCGCUUGGGCCCCGCAGUCCUCGCCCCUUCCUCUGUGGUUGUUCCUUGUCUAUCGCUCCUCGGUUGGAGCCGUGCCGAGCGGCGAGCUCCACCACCGCGCCGGCCGCCGGAAAGCAUCUCCCUCCAUUGUUCAGCGUCGCGCCGAUGAUGGACUGGACGGACAACCACUAUCGGACGCUCGCGCGGCUUAUCUCGCGGCAUGCCUGGCUUUAUACUGAGAUGGUCGUCGCCGAGACCAUCGUGCAUCAGAAGGAUAACCUGGAUAGGUUUCUAGCAUUUCCGGAGGAACAACAUCCUAUUGUGCUGCAGAUUGGUGGAAGUAACCUUGAAAAUUUAGCAAAAGCAACAGAACUGGCAAAUGAUUAUUCAUAUGAUGAGAUCAACCUAAACUGUGGCUGUCCAAGCGGCAAAGUUGCUGGUCAUGGUUGCUUUGGUGCUCGCUUAAUGUUUGAUCCAGAGUUUGUAGGAGAUGCCAUGUCAACUAUCGCAGCUAAUUGUGAUGUCCCAGUUAGUGUUAAAUGCAGAAUUGGUGUUGACGAUCGUGAUUCUUAUGAAGAACUAUGUGAAUUUGUAGAUAAAGUUAUCUCAAAAUCUCCAACCAGGCAUUUCAUUAUUCAUGCUCGGAAGGCAUUGCUUAGUGGUCUCAGUCCCGCAGAGAAUCGGAAGAUUCCUCCAUUGAAAUAUGAGUACUAUUUUGCUUUGUUGCGGGACUUCCCAGAAAUAAAAUUUACUCUAAAUGGUGGCAUAACCAAUGUUAGUCAAGUUAGUGCAUCCAUGAGACAAGGUGCACACGGAGUUAUGGUUGGCCGGGCUGCUUAUAACAAUCCAUGGAACAUGCUAGGACAUGUGGAUGGGGAAAUCUAUGGCAAGCAAACAAGAUACAUUUCUCGUCGCCAGAUACUUGAGAACUACCAAGCUUAUGGUGAUUCAAUAAUUGACCAGUAUGGCCCCAGCAGGCCAAAUGUGAGACAACUUGUCAAGGUAGGAGCUACAUUUUGGUGACAAAAACACUUCGCCACUGUUAAACUUAUUCCACUCAGAACCUGGCAACAGCCUAUGGAAACGCAAAGCUGACUCUGCAUUGCGUCAUUGCAAGGAGUGCUACACAUCCUUUCUGUAAGAAAAAAAACUCGGCCGGGGAGGGAAAGACCACCAUCUCGGUAUUAUAUUAAGAAAAGACCGAAACAAUGGUCCCGGCCGAGAAAAUCCCCGAACCCUGACCCAUCACUAACGGGCCGGCAUCAACUGUCCACUCUACAACAGCCCAACCGGCAGGACAUCGUAACCCGAGAGUAGAUGGGACACAGCGAGAAGAUUUUUUGAACCAAGCCUGGAAAUACGCUCUCGAGGGAAAUCAAACCUAGGACUUGGAGACAGUGAAAACUUUCUUGGAGGAGACUCUUGACGCAAUAUCGGACAGCGUUCUUGACAAGCCAGUAAACAGGGAACCAUCCAGUGACGAAGAAUAUUUUGCUAGUGUCGAUUCUCUGUUGCCACCAAAAUACACGACACCGAUGCAUGAAAGACUUGUAGCCGCAUCCACUUGAACAGCGUGUCGGGAAGCGGAUUGCCUGCGGUACUGCAGGGUGUAGUUGGGUCACUGCGCGUGGGCCCUGUCGCACGGGGCAGUGCCCACGCAGGGGGGGCUGUGAAAAUGAUCUAUGUAAUUGUUGUAACACAUAUACGUCGCCACGUCGGGGUAUAUCAAUAGCUGUAGACAUAACCAUUUUGAC